GCCAGAUAUCGCACGUAUAUCUACAGAGUACUUGGAUGGUAGGGCGAGGGUAAGACGGGCAGGAAAGGAGGAAGCAGACGGAACGCUGCAGAGAAGAGAGGGGGAAACCUCCUUCCCUCUUUAGCGUUCCGUCUACUUCCUUCUCCCCGGCUGUCUUACCCUCGCCCUACCUU
rnacentral:SRP_RNA from 1 species